rnacentral:rRNA from 1 species
GACGAACGCUGGCGGCGUGCUUAACACAUGCAAGUCGAGCGGUAAGGCUCCUUCGGGAGUACACGAGCGGCGAACGGGUGAGUAACACGUGAGCAAUCUGCCCUUCACAUCGGGAUAACUCCGGGAAACCGGUGCUAAUACCGAAUACGACCACCGGAGGCAUCUUCUGGUGGUGGAAAGUUCCGGCGGUGAAGGAUGAGCUCGCGGCCUAUCAGCUUGUUGGUGGGGUAAAGGCCCACCAAGGCAACGACGGGUAGCCGGCCUGAGAGGGUGACCGGCCACACUGGGACUGAGACACGGCCCAGACUCCUACGGGAGGCAGCAGUGGGGAAUAUUGGACAAUGGGGCGAAAGCCUGAUCCAGCAACGCCGCGUGA